GGGCUGUUGGUCUAGAGGCAUGAUUCUCGCUUUGGGUUCUUACUCCUUCUACUAGGAAGUAGAGAGGGAAGGCAAUCCUGCGAGAGGUCCCCGGUUCGAUCCCGGGACAGCCCC